GAGGUGCCAUAAAUACUUUAGAUUUAUCUCAUUUUUGGAUCUAUUAGAUCCUAUGGUAUUCACUGUUUGCUCAGAUAUAUUCACAGAUACAUCUAUAUGUAUGUGAUAGAGACUAUGAAUCAUAAAACCAUUUUGAAUCAAUUUAAUUUUUAAAUAAAUAAAAAUCUUUCUGUGCUAAAUAAAAUACAGAAAUCAAAUUUCUGCUAGCAAUAGGUAACAGUCCCUAAGUAUCCUGAGCAUAUCUGACAUACCUUCUGAAGGUCUGUCACCCUUUAUGUUCUUUAUGCUUUUCCAUGUAUGUAGGACAGUUCCUCUUCCAAUGGUCGUCCAUGAUGCAAUGAAAACAUUUUUUCUUGCAAUUGGCCUUUUUCUUGGAACUUCCUUACUUGGUGUUUUCUUAGUCUUCUGCUUCUUCGCAGGCUUCUUCUUCUUCCAAAUAGACUCUCUUUUGGAACCAGAAGUUAACUCAGCAGCAAGGACAUUGCCCC
rnacentral:lncRNA from 1 species